AUGUGUUCUGGGCUGCAGUCGUCUGCGCAGACGCAGAAGGAUCAGGAGACGGCUCUGACGGAGGAAGAGCGCAGACAACAGCAGGAACUACUGCAGUCUUUAGCGGAGCAUGUCCUUCACGUGUCCCGGCGCAGGCUCACGUCUGGAGGACACACUGACCUCCAUCUGUCUGCACACACAACACCUCACAGGUAACACACACACACACACACACACACACACACACUGUUCCUAUCAUCAUGGGUUCACUCCAUAGGAAUAAUGGUUUUUCUAUCCCCUUCCACUAAACCUGCAGGCAUUGCUAGAUUCUCAAAACACUUCAUACUGCAUGAUUUAUAAGCUUGUUUUCUCAUUAUCCCCACAAAGUCAGAACUGACUGGUAUUACUAGACUUGUGGGGACAGUUGAUCAUAUGCACAGUUACUUGCUGGUUUUAGAGAAGCCAGCUCAGUCAUUUCCAGUCAGCUGGAGUGCCCUCACAUCAUCCAGUCACAAUCUGAGGAAAGUUUUGUUUGUCUAAGAGCACCCUUCGUCCAUGAGUUCAGUUUUAUGAAAGACAGACGCAGUUACUCCGGUAAAUCAUUCCUGUGAGAGUGAUGAGAGAACGACGCGUGUGUCAGAAUAGAGCUGUGCAUUCAGUGAUCCAGUAACACAAGUCUGUGCUGGAGAAAACAAGUCAUGUGCUUAUUAAAUCAAAACAUUUCAGAUUAUUGAAUGCAUUAUUUAAUUGUUAUACUAACUUGUAUUUAACUAUAUAGGUAUUCAGAUAAUUCCUCGUUAUAUGCUGUUGUCUGGGCUGAGUUAUUUCUUUCUUUAAAUGACGAGUGACGUCCUGCACCUUUACUUUAUACUUCAGUGCGAUUAAGUACUAACAUUUGUUAUAAUAUUUAUUUUAUACUAAAUCUAAAGAGUUGAGUGCUCCUCUGCUGCCAUCUGCUGGUUAUAACCCUGAUUUCAUUUUCAUCUUAAAAACUCUUUAUUUUUUGCCAAGAGACACAUUUUGGGACAUUUCUUCAUGAAUGAAAAGUGAACCUUUAGUUGAGAAAUAAUAAAGGCUUUAAAAUUUUAUAAGAUUUUAAAAAU
ensembl:lncRNA